CACGCUCACCUGCCUAGAAAAAGCCUUCGAGAGGGCGGCGAUGUGUCGCUGCCCUUCAGAGACGGAGAGGAGGAGUCGGGGUGUGAGAUCCACGUAGGCUGUUUUAACGAGUGUUACUGAGCCUGCUGGUUGCCAUAGGUGCACCCCGGCGGAAGGUUUGUGUCACAAAAACUGUGGAGACCCCGGCAGAGGUCCCAUGCUCAAGCAGGAGGAAGACAGUAGCCAAGAAGACUGUAGAGAGCCAGACUGAGGACCUGUGCGUGCACAAGAGGAAGGCUGAUGGUAAGAUACGUGUGGCUACUCAGACUGAGGCCCCAUCACGAGAUGCUAGUACACAGGUCACUGGCUCUGUUGACUGCUGGAGCCUGGCCUUUGCAGUGCCAGACGAUGGAGGCCGCACUUGCAUAAGAUGUGACCAACUGAAUGACUUACUCCUCUUUGUGAUUGACCUGAAGGAGGAGGUAGAGAGGCUGAGGACCAUAAAGGACUGUGAGAGGGAGAUUGACUGGUGGUGCCAGUCCCUAUCAGCCCCGAAAUCUUGGCACAUGGCUGAGGCUCUGCAUGGAGCAUGUCAACCCCUGCUGCCUUGCAAACAGGUGGUAGAAGGGAACCGGCUGGUUGAGGUGCUGCAGUGAACUCCCUGUCCUCUCCUCCCCCUGGCAGCAAUUUGAGAGAGGAGGAGGAGUGAAAACAGAUACCUGCUCGGCAAGAGGGAAAACUCAAAGUUGCAUGGAAGCUAUGCAAGGAGAAAAGAUAUGUUGCACAAUUCCAAAUGUUUCACAAUUUCCUCCCUGUCAUCAAGAAAACAGAAAAUGUUUUCAUAGGGCUACAGGUUCUCUCUCUGAGGACCAAAACCCUGAGAAGAAGAAAACCAUCUUACUGGGCCUCUGAAGGAAGUGCUGCUAACAGUGUCACAUGAAAUAUUUUUUCUGUUGUCUUGAAAUUACAGAUCUGUAAUUUAUUUCCCACCAAUUCAAGGUAAUGUAGCGUUACUCUCCUAAAUGAGACAUGUUAUAAAAGUGCACUGUGGUAAGUGUAUGUUGUUCCGUAUUUCUGUCCUAGCCCUGUGAAUGUAAAUCAGAAAUCUGUGUUGAAGAACUUGCAAACUCUUGCUCUUCCUUGUUUGUUGUACAGAUGUCUGUCAGAGGGGUUGUGAG
ensembl:lncRNA